rnacentral:rRNA from 1 species
UACGUAGGGGGCUAGCGUUGUCCGGAAUCAUUGGGCGUAAAGAGCGUGUAGGCGGCCCGGUAAGUCCGCUGUGAAAGUCGGGGGCUCAACCCUCGAAAGCCGGUGGAUACUGUCGGGCUAGAGUGCGGAAGAGGAGAGUGGAAUUCCUGGUGUAGCGGUGAAAUGCGCAGAUAUCAGGAAGAACACCCGUGGCUAAGGCGGCUCUCUGGGACGGUACUGACGCUGAGACGCGAAAGCGUGGGGAGCGAACAGG